GCCCCUGUGGUUCAAGUGGAUAGGGCAUCGGCCUCCGGAGCCGAGGAUUCGCGUUCAAGUCGCGACAGGGGCA
rnacentral:tRNA from 1 species